AGUGAACGCUGGCGGUAGGCCUAACACAUGCAAGUCGAACGGCAGCACAGUAAGAUCUUGCUCUUACGGGUGGCGAGUGGCGGACGGGUGAGGCAUACAUCGGAAUCUACUUUUUCGUGGGGGAUAACGUAGGGAAACUUACGCUAAUACCGCAUACGACCUACGGGUGAAAGCAGGGGAUCUUCGGACCUUGCGCGAUUGAAUGAGCCGAUGUCGGAUUAGCUAGUUGGCGGGGUAAAGGCCCACCAAGGCGACGAUCCGUAGCUGGUCUGAGAGGAUGAUCAGCCACACUGGAACUGAGACACGGUCCAGACUCCUACGGGAGGCAGCAGUGGGGAAUAUUGGACAAUGGGCGAAAGCCUGAUCCAGCCAUACCGCGUGAGUGAAGAAGGCCUUCGGGUUGUAAAGCCCUUUUGUUGGGAAAGAAAAGCAGCAGGUUAAUACCCCGCUGUUCUGACGGUACCCAAAGAAUAAGCACCGGCUAACUUCGUG
rnacentral:rRNA from 1 species